UUGGAGGGCAAGUCUGGUGCCAGCAGCCGCGGUAAUUCCAGCUCCAAUAGCGUAUAUUAAAGUUGUUGCAGUUAAAAAGCUCGUAGUUGAAUUUCGAGAUCAAUUUGUCGGUCGUGCCUCGGUACGUACUGGCAUUAUUGAUUUCUCCCUUCUGAAGAACCGCGAUGUCAUUAAUUUGGUGUCGUGGGGAAUCAGGAUUGUUACUUUGAAAAAAUUAGAGUGUUUAAAGCAGGCGCACGCUUGAAUACAUUAGCAUGGAAUAAUGAAAUAGGACGUUUGAUUCUAUUUUGUUGGUUUCUAGGAUCGACGUAAUGAUUAAUAGGGAUAGUUGGGGGCAUUAGUAUUCAAUUGUCAGAGGUGAAAUUCUUGGAUUUAUUGAAGACUAACUACUGCGAAAGCAUUUGCCAAGGAUGUUUUCAUUAAUCAAGAACGAAAGUUAGGGGAUCGAAGACGAUCAGAUACCGCCGUAGUCUUAACCAUAAACUAUGCCGACUAGGGAUCGGACGAUGUUAAUUUUUUAAUGACUCAUUCGGCGCCUUACGGGAAACCAAAGUGUUUGGGUUC
rnacentral:rRNA from 1 species